CUUACCUGCAUGGUGUGGCUUUCAGACACCUGUUUAUCUUCUAGGUGUGAGUGAAUCAAGUGAAUAGCUGAAUUGGUAUGUGCUGGCUCUGAGAAGUACGUCUCACACAACUUAUGGUGCUCAAAAUCGUCAGAUUGCUGCAUCACAAUCUCCUUCUGAGCCGGCAAAGAAGCCUACCUGCCUGACUUCUCUCAGCUGCAUUGGAGAGGACACAUCUCAAGGAUGAAGGACUACCACCUCCCUAAGAUCUUGCUUUACUGAUGAACUUGCCACUGGCUGCCAUGAGAGAGGAGCCCUGAAGAGAAGAUACAAGGACUCCCUGAAACAACAUCUCAGCCUUGGCCAUAUUGAUCACCAUAACUGGUCUACUCUGGCCUCCAAUCGGGAGGUCUGGAGACACACCAUCUAUAACGCUGCUGAUGCCUUUGAGAAAGCACACAGGAUCACCCUUGAGGAGAAAAGACAACGCAGAAAGAAUCGUGUCCUGCUGAUACUACCUAAGGAGUCUUUCUGCUGUGCCUUUUGCAACCGGACGUGUCUAUCUUGUAUUGGCCUUUUUAGCCACCAGCGCGCUUGUAGCGAAUGUGGGUAGAGCCCUUCCCAAAUCUUCGUUCGCGAAGCCUAGCCAUGAACCUGCCUGACUUCCACCUUGGUUGCCAGUCACUACUAUCUGAUAUCUCUAUUGCAUUUCUAUUGCCCUUGUGAAUGGCAUACUGGCACUUUUUGUUUUGUUCCCCUCAGUAUUGUCACCUCCCCUAUGACUUUAAAUAAACAGAUUCUCCUGCUAAGCCUUCCAGCACCCUAA